CUGAACUUUAGGGGGACAUUGGGUGAGGCAGGUGUUCCACCCCACUUUCUUGUUUGAGGGGAGAAGGAAACCAAAGCCAGUAGAAAUGGAAGUCUAUGGCCUCUGUGCUCUCAGAGGGAGAAAAAAAUUCUCACUCAUCAGCCUAAAGAGAAACCCUGUCUUAUCCCAGAUUACCACCAUGGGAUUUAAAAUUCAGUGAGAAGACUGCGUUGGAAAUACUGUCUUCAAACUGCUGGUACAGACACUGACCAUUGGUACAAUAUUUUUAGGUCAUUUAUCAAUUGCCAUGUUUUACAUUUCUUUCAUGCAAUACAAGUUGAAAUCAUAAUGAAAUUCUUGAGUUUCGGAAUAUCUCAAAGUAAGUUUCUUCAUCCUCAACAAA